rnacentral:rRNA from 1 species
UACAUAGCUUAAUGAGGGGAACUCAGGGAACUGAAACAUCUAAGUACCUGAAGGAAGAGAAAGAAAUUCGAUUCCGUAAGUAGCGGCGAGCGAACGCGGAUUAGCCCAAACCAAUAAAGUUUUCUUUAUUGGGGUUGCGGACAUAUCAUAACGAAGAGGUAUCGUAAUUGAAGAGGUUUGGAAAGACCCACCACAGAAGGUAAUAGUCCUGUAUGUUAAACGAGAAGACUUUAGAUAUGAUCCAGAGUACCACGGGACACGUGAAACCCUGUGGGAAGCAGGAGGGACCACCCUCCAAGGCUAAAUACUACCUAGUGACCGAUAGCGUAUAGUACCGUGAGGGAAAGGUGAAAAGAACCCCGGGAGGGGAGUGAAAUAGAACCUGAAACCCUGCACUUACAAGCUGUGGAAGCACAUUUCUUGUGUGACCGCGUACUUUUUGUAGAACGGGCCAACGAGUUACGUUAAGUAGCAAGGUUAAGCACUUAAGGUGUGGAGCCGUAGCGAAAGCGAGUUUUAACUGAGCGUUCAGUUACUUGACGUAGACCCGAAACCGGGCGACCUACCCAUGAGCAGGAUGAAGCGAAAGUAAAAUUUCGUGGAGGGCCGAACCCACGAGCGUUGAAAAGCUCGGGGAUGAC